GGCGAACAUUCGGGAAGGCGGCGUGGUCGAUGGCGGUGCGAAGUGUCCGCAAUAAAUUGGCGUCAGGCGUGCGAGGAGCGCGGAGUAUUAUUCCAUGUAUCUGGAAUCAGAAUCCUAUGUGAAACUUAAUAUGAAUUCAUUUACCUGAAGAAGUAAUAACAGAAACGAUUUGUGGAUACAAAGUUGAAAGGAGAUUUUACGUUUUAAAAUGAAACAAGAGAAUAUUCCAAAAAUAUAGAACCUGUUUUAGAUUGUUGUGUUGACAAAGAAUUGGCAACAGCUAUUCCUGAAGAAACAAAAUUCAGCAUUUCAUUGUACACAGAAUCAACUCUACCUGCAGAAGAUAUUACACAGGUGCAUCCACAUCAACCUGAUGAACAAAAUUGCCAGUGCAUUCUAUUUGCAGGAAAUUAUGUCAGGUUGCUCCUAUAAAUUGGUGGCAAACCUUCACUUCCUAUAGUCUUAAUACAAAAAAAAUGCUUAAUAUGCCAUCAGCAUUUGAAGAUGUUGAACUCAUACCAAGACAGAAAGUGAGUAAAAUCCAAAUGUUUUGCCUUUUAAUCCAUUAGAUUCUGUCAUCAUUCAUGUCUUUUAAAAAUGUGCCUAUUGUUUGUCUUUGAGGGAAUAACAGCGUACUAAUCCUUCAAGAUGCUACAGUGAAUUUUGUUAAAUUAACAUAAAAUAAGAAAGUAACUUUUGUUAGAAGUUGUAAAAUGCUUCAGUGAAACUUGCAUGUGUUCUGCUUUUAGCUUAAUGCUCAUCGUGGUUCAAGUUCGGAUUCAAGUUAGAUCUUCCUGAUGGAUAUUCAUUUUUUUUAGCGGUCCUCUUCAUUCUUGAAGCUGUUUGAU